GCUCUAUUCCAGAAGCAGUCUGGAGCACAAAGAAUCCCUAAUCACUGACAUUAAGAAAGAAGAAAAAUAUUCCUAGGACGAUCCUGGAGAGCAAAGGUCAUCAGCAGUCACUUGACUUUCCUUGGAUUUCUCAACUGCAGUAGUCACAUGGUCUGCUGAAAAUGAAUUCUCUUUAUUUUCAUCUGAUUUCAAGGAAUUAUGGUUUUCAGUGAUUUCUUCAUUUGGAUCUAUUUUGAGACAGAGUAAUAGCAUUAAAACCCCCUUCUGAAUUAAUAAGGUAACAUGGGCUUAAAAUCACUCAAUUCACUAUUGGAUUCUUUGGAGCUGUUAAUCUGUUCAGUGAAAAGAACAAGAACUUUGGAACUCAAGAUUUAACUAUGGUUCCAUCACUGACCUUGGGCAUUUGUUGCUGAAACGCAAAGUGUGACAAGCCAAUGGAGAGAAAGAAGAGACACAGACAUGCAGAGAAAACACAGGGAAGAAGGCCACAUGGGAUGAAGGCAGAGAAGGGAAUGAUGCAGCUACAAGCCAGCUA
rnacentral:lncRNA from 1 species